UACAGAGGUCCCAAGCGUUGUUCGGAUUCACUGGGCGUAAAGGGUGCGUAGGUGGUGAGGUAAGUCGGAUGUGAAAGCUCGGAGCUCAACUCCGAAAUGGCAUUGGAAACUACCUUGCUUGAGGGUUGGAGGGGGGACUGGAAUACUUGGUGUAGCAGUGAAAUGCGUAGAUAUCAAGUGGAACACCAGUGGCGAAGGCGAGUCCCUGGACAACUCCUGACACUGAGGCACGAAAGCUAGGGGAGCAAACAGG
rnacentral:rRNA from 1 species